UACGGAGGUCUCAAGCGUUGUUCGGAUUCAUUGGGCGUAAAGGGUGCGUAGGCGGUCGCGCAAGUCGGAUGUGAAAUCUCAGGGCUCAACCCUGAAACUGCAUUCGAUACUGCGUGGCUAGGGUACUGGAGAGGAGACUGGAAUUUACGGUGUAGCAGUGAAAUGCGUAGAUAUCGUAAGGAAGACCAGUGGCGAAGGCGAGUCUCUGGACAGUUACCGACGCUGAGGCACGAAGGCGAGGGGAGCAAACGGG
rnacentral:rRNA from 1 species